rnacentral:rRNA from 1 species
CCUGAAGUGGGGGAUAACCAUUGGAAACGAUGGCUAAUACCGCAUAAUACCUACGGGUCAAAGAGGGGGACCUUCGGGCCUCUCGCGUCAGGAUAUGCCUAGGUGGGAUUAGCUAGUUGGUGAGGUAAUGGCUCACCAAGGCGACGAUCCCUAGCUGGUCUGAGAGGAUGAUCAGCCACACUGGAACUGAGACACGGUCCAGACUCCUACGGGAGGCAGCAGUGGGGAAUAUUGCACAAUGGGCGCAAGCCUGAUGCAGCCAUGCCGCGUGUGUGAAGAAGGCCUUCGGGUUGUAAAGCACUUUCAGUCGUGAGGAAGGUAGUGUAGUUAAUAGCUGCAUUAUUUGACGUUAGCGACAGGAGAAGCACCGGCUAACUCCGUGCCAGCAGCCGCGGUAAUACGGAGGGUGCGAGCGUUAAUCGGAAUUACUGGGCGUAAAGCGCAUGCAGGUGGUUUGUUAAGUCAGAUGUGAAAGCCCGGGGCUCAACCUCGGAAUAGCAUUUGAAACUGGCAGACUAGAGUACUGUAGAGGGGGGUAGAAUUUCAGGUGUAGCGGUGAAAUGCGUAGAGAUCUGAAGGAAUACCGGUGGCGAAGGCGGCCCCCUGGACAGAUACUGACACUCAGAUGCGAAAGCGUGGGGAGCAAACAGGAUUAGAUACCCUGGUAGUCCACGCCGUAAACGACGUCUACUUGGAGGUUGUGGCCUUGAGCCGUGGCUUUCGGAGCUAACGCGUUAAGUAGACCGCCUGGGGAGUACGGUCGCAAGAUUAAAACUCAAAUGAAUUGACGGGGGCCCGCACAAGCGGUGGAGCAUGUGGUUUAAUUCGAUGCAACGCGGAGAACCUUACCUACUCUUGACAUCCAGAGAACUUUCCAGAGAUGGAUUGGUGCCUUCGGGAACUCUGAGACAGGUGCUGCAUGGCUGUCGUCAGCUCGUGUUGUGAAAUGUUGGGUUAAGUCCCGCAACGAGCGCAACCCUUAUCCUUGUUUGCCAGCACUUCGGGUGGGAACUCCAGGGAGACUGCCGGUGAUAAACCGGAGGAAGGUGGGGACGACGU